GGACACGUGGUGGCCCCGUGCCGUCUCCAACCGAGACGUGGGCACUCGGUGACAUUGAGCUGUCCCCAAGGGUGACACGGGUGACCCUGCCCUGUCCCAAGCGGGUCAAUGUGGUGACUCAGGGUUUAGCGAGGCGGGGCCGUCCCCGUGUCCCCGAUGUCCCCUCCCCAGACGGUGGCACCGGGCCGCCCCACCCGUCCCGGUCCCUAUUUAAGGUCUGUCCCCUCUGUCCCCGCUGUGUCCCCGAUGUCCCCGAUGUCCCCGGCAAUGGCCGCUCCCCGGCUGCCGUCGGCCCUCGGGGUCCUCCUGCUGCUGUGCGGGCGGCUGGCAGGUGCUGCCUCUGACUGCGACUCAGGAUCCCGCCUGAGCCCGCUGAUGGCCGGGGUGGAUCCAUGCAAGGAACCCGCGGGAUUCCUCAGCCCCCAGUCGGGGUGGGGGGACACAGGGGGACCCUCCGGAGGCCACCCUGGAUCCUAUGGGAGCAGCUCGGGAUCCUAUGGGGCCGGAUCGGGAUCCUAUGGGGGCGGAUCAGGAUCCUAUGGCAGACAGGAAUCCUAUGGGGGUGGAUCGGGAUCCUACGGGAGCAGCUCAGGAUCCUAUGGGGCCAGACCGGGAUCCUACAGUGGAUCGGGAUCCCAUAGCAGUGGAUCAGGAUCCUACGGUGGACCGGGAUCCUAUGGGGGCGGAUCGGGAGCGUCCCCGGGACGAGGAAGCGGAUCGGGAUCCUAUGUGUCACCGGAAUCCAGUGGAGGCAAACCGGGAUACUACGGAAGUCGACCGGGAUCCCAAGGGGAUGGAUCGGGAUCUUUCGUCUCGCCGGGAUCUGGUGGGCCACCAGGAUCCUAUGGACUUCUGCCCUAUGGAUUGGAGAGACCUCAAGGGGGAAGUGGGUCGGGAUCGGGAAGACCUGGAUCCCAAGGGGGAAGUGGAUCAGGAUCUGGAAGACCUGGAUCCCAAGGAGGAUCGGGAUCAGGAUCGGGAAGACCUGGAUCCCAAGGAGGAUCGGGAUCAGGAUCAGGAAGACCUGGAUCCCAAGGGGGAAUUGGAUCAGGAUCAGGGAGACCUGGAUCCCAAGGAGGAUUGGGAUCAGGAGGACCUGGAUCCCAAGGAGGAUCAGGAUCAGGAUCGGGAAGACCUGGAUCCCAAGG
rnacentral:lncRNA from 1 species